rnacentral:rRNA from 1 species
GAUGAACGCUGGCGGCGUGCCUAAUACAUGCAAGUCGAGCGAACGGACGAGAAGCUUCCUUCUCUGAUGUUAGCGGCGGACGGGUGAGUAACACGUGGAUAACCUACCUAUAAGACUGGGAUACCUUCGGGCAACCGGAGCUAAUACCGGAUGAUAUUUUGAACCGCAUGGUUCAAAAUUGAAAGACGGUCUUGCUUUCACUUAUAGAUGGAUCCGCGCUGCAUUAGCUAGUUGGUAAGGUAACGGCUUACCGAGGCAACGAUGCAUAGCCGACCUGAGAGGGUGAUCGGCCACACUGGAACUGAGACACGGUCCAGACUCCUACGGGAGGCAGCAGUAGGGAAUCGUCCGCAAUGGGCGCAAGCCUGACGGAGCAACGCCGCGUGAGUGAUGAAGGUCUUCGGAUCGGAAGACUCUGUUAUUAGGGAAGAACAUAUGUGUAAGUACCUGUGCACAUAUUGACGGUACCUAAUCAGAAAGCCACGGCUAACUACGUG